CACACUCUUAAAAUUAAUUUCUACCAAAGAUUCCCUUACAAUGAAAUAAAUUAUACACAUCAAUAUAUGUGCAAAGGUUCAACCCAAUCAUUCGACACAGGGUCAGGAACACACACAUAUCAGUCUGUUGAAGUUGAAGAUGGGCCACAUGUUGAAGAUUUCUAUUUCUAAAUUGUGUUCUUGUUAUGACUGUGACCAAAUGACUUGCUUUCACUACCAGCUACAAGACAACACAACCAAAGCGAAGGUGUAUCCAUCAAAUGCAAUCACUGCUCCAACUCAUGAGCUAAACCUGCCAUGCAAUCAGCUUCCUAGUUUUAUUCUCUUGGGAUAUGAAAGCACUAGGCAAAUGCCAAUCUUUGUCAAUCAAUGCUUUGGUCUGUGCAACCAUGGAUACAAAAGGAUGUUCAAUUGUAAUUUUGAUCUCUUAUCUGUGGCAAUUGUGCGAUUUAGUUUAAUCAUCUUUGAAGUGAACAA